ACCCCGAUCCCAAGCACCAUGGAGCCGACGAUUUGGAUCAAGACCUACAUCCCAAGCACCAAGGUGCCUGGUUGAUAUGGAUCGCGAUCCCGAUCUGGAGCUCCAGGGCGCCGAGGAUUUCGAUCACGAUCCCGAUCUGAAGCACCGAGUAGCCGAGGAUAUGGGUCAAGACCCCGGUCCGAAGCGACAAGGAGGCAAGGAUUUGGAUCACCACUCCGAUCAAAGGCACCAAGGCGUCGAGGGAUUGGAUCGAGAUCCCGAUCCCAAUCAUGAAGUUGGCUAUGUAAUUUCCUGUUUUCCACACCGUUCAGGGCAUUUUGGAUGUCGUAUCGGCUUUUAGUUGCUUGCUUGGUGUUAGUGCCAAGGGAGUGGUUGGAAGCUAGGUCGUCCUCUGGAAUGCUUGUUGUAAAGGUGUAUGAGUUGUGUUUGGCUUGUUACGGGUGUUUGUUGGCUGCUUGUGCAGGAACUUUCAUGCGUCCAAGCCUCUUCAGUUGUGCUACAAGGCCUUGUUUGUCUUGUGCAUACGGUGGGUUUCCUGUGUUGCAUACCUAAUCAAGGGCAUCGUAUGGCUUGAUCGAAGUAAAUAUUCGUAAUGCGCCGCUUGCGGCGUUGCACGAACCUCGAAGUGGUCUCUGUGGCCCAUGUUGUCUUUGCUCAUGUAUGGAUGGCAUGGCCCUCGGAGCGUCGCUUGGUCUCUUGGAUACGGAACCUGAUGAUGUGGGCGGUAGGGUCUUGGAUGAUUCUACCUUCGC
rnacentral:misc_RNA from 1 species